rnacentral:rRNA from 1 species
AGUGAACGCUGGCGGUAGGCCUAACACAUGCAAGUCGAACGGCAGCACAGUAAGAGCUUGCUCUUACGGGUGGCGAGUGGCGGACGGGUGAGGAAUACAUCGGAAUCUACUUUUUCGUGGGGGAUAACGUAGGGAAACUUACGCUAAUACCGCAUACGACCUACGGGUGAAAGCAGGGGAUCUUCGGACCUUGCGCGAUUGAAUGAGCCGAUGUCAGAUUAGCUAGUUGGCGGGGUAAAGGCCCACCAAGGCGACGAUCCGUAGCUGGUCUGAGAGGAUGAUCAGCCACACUGGAACUGAGACACGGUCCAGACUCCUACGGGAGGCAGCAGUGGGGAAUAUUGGACAAUGGGCGCAAGCCUGAUCCAGCCAUACCGCGUGGGUGAAGAAGGCCUUCGGGUUGUAAAGCCCUUUUGUUGGGGAAGAAAAGCAGCAGGUUAAUACCCCGCUGUUCUGACGGUACCCAAAGAAUAAGCACCGGCUAACUUCGUG